GAGUUUCACACUGUAAUGUACACACACACACACACUGUAAUGUACACGCACACUCGCACAAACACACACAAGCCCACACACUAAAAUACUACAUAGAAUAUUUUCCAUUAUACUUCAUUCCUAGUCAAAAUGGCAAUAAAAUGUAAAACUUAUUUUUAAAACCAGACAACAUUUUAUGGAUUAAGCGCAUUUGUUGAAACUGUUAUUAGUCAUUUUUUAGUGUGCGGUGUUUUGGUAAAUAAAUCUCCAAUAAACGCAUUCUAUUAUUUAUAAUGCUAACGUAUCCACAUGAUAAAAAAAGUUGAUUCUUCAUCAGAACUAAAUCCUGGCAAUCUUCCUUCUGCAUUUCUCAAUGAUGGUGUAUCAAUAGUAAUUUUAAAACCAUAUUAAAACAAGUUUGGCCUGGAAUAGCCUGAAAAAAUUUUGCAACAAAAGCAAUUUGCGAUUUGGAACUGUCCAUUUUGUACUUUUAAUAUAGCUUCCAGUGAAAGCAUUGAAUCUGAAAGCAGUUUAUUUAUUUUAAAAUUUUGUUCUUCUUUCAGACGUCAUUAACAGUGCAUAAAAAAGUCAUGAGAAUUUCUGGCAAGAACAAUGUUAAAGAGUUGAAGAAUUCGGAACUUUUUUUGUAAUUUUUGAGGAUAAUAGUAGUAAAGGGUUUACCAUAUAACAGAAAUUUCUACAAUAGAAAGAAUCUUAAAUUCGCAACUCAAAAUAAUAACAACACAGACUGUGAUAAAUAGCAACGCAGAAUGUCGGGCGAUCUACUUUGAAAAAAAAAGUUUUUUUCCAAUCCGCCAAAUAAUUAAUAUUUUAAAUACUUUUAAUGAGUUGAUUUUACAAUAUUGUACUCAGGAAAAAAAAAUCAUAACGGAAAGAUGCAAAAAAUGGAAAAAUUU